rnacentral:lncRNA from 1 species
GUUCUGUUUGACUCCGAAAUGGCUUGCUCGAUGUGCACUGAGGCUGAGUUGUUCGCUGAAAUUAUUCUGCCUAGAUAUUUUAUCUGAUCUACUUGCCUAAUCUCGACUCCUUGGUGCUCAAUGUUCAGCUCGGUUCUUCGGAUGCUGAAGUGAACCACUUUGGAUUUGGCUGGGUUAAAAGCAAGGUUAAGCCUGUUGCAUCUUGCUUCAAAGCUGUCUAUUAUUCCUAGGAGCAUACGUUUGGCAAUGGAAAUCUCCUUGUGGAAGCAAAUAAUAAAGAAGUCGUCCGCAUACUGAAACAGUAGGCAAUUGCCAUCGUUUAUCUCGUGCAGUUCUGCGGUGUACAAGUUGAACAGAGUUGGACUGAGACAGCUGCCCUGACUAACUCCCCUGUUCACCUCAACCUCACUCUUGCCCUUGAUGAGUAGGCGCUUGCUCAGGAAGCUGGCAAUCCAGGCAGUGUGAUUCGAGUCGAACUGCAUGACAUUCAUAUUCUGCUCUAGCGUGUCGACUCUUACGCAGUCAAAUGCCCUUUGUAUGUCAAGACAGGCCGCCACGACCUGAUUCCCUCUCGCUUUCAGAGCCAGGACCUCGUUGAUCAGGUCGUUGAUGC